GGUUCAGAAUGAAAUGGUACAACGUACAAGCAUUGAAGAAUAAAGGCUUGUACAAUGUACAAUAUUCCGCUUCAUACCCGGAGUGUCAUAGGUUCGAGUCCUAUUUGAGCCA
rnacentral:tRNA from 1 species